UACAGGGGGUGCAAACGUUGCUCGGAAUUAUUGGGCGUAAAGCGCGCGUAGGCGGCUACUUAUGUCGGAUGUGAAAGCCCUUGGCUCAACUGAGGAAGUGCACCCGAAGCUGAGUAGCUGGAGUACGAAAGAGGGUCGCGGAAUUCCCGGUGUAGAGGUGAAAUUCGUAGAUAUCGGGAGGAACACCGGUGGCGAAGGCGGCGACCUGGGUCGAUACUGACGCUGAUGCGCGAAAGCGUGGGGAGCAAACAGG
rnacentral:rRNA from 1 species